rnacentral:rRNA from 1 species
AUUGAACGCUGGCGGUAUGCUUAACACAUGCAAGUCGAACGCGAAAGAUUUCUUCGGAGAUCGAGUAGAGUGGCGCACGGGUGAGUAACGCGUAAGUUAUCUACCUCGGCAUCUGGAAUAACUCACCGAAAGGUGUGCUAAUACCGGAUACGUUGAGUAAUCAAGAAAGGUGGCCUCUGAAUAUGCUACUGUGCUGAGAUGAGCUUGCGUACCAUUAGCUAGUUGGUAGGGUAAUGGCCUACCAAGGCGACGAUGGUUAGCGGGUCUGAGAGGAUGAUCCGCCACACUGGAACUGGAACACGGACCAGACUCCUACGGGAGGCUG